AAUCUGCGAGGACCACCUCGUAAGGCUAAAUAUUCCUGGAUGUCCGAUAGCGAAUAGUACCGCGAGGGAAAGGUGAAAAGAACCCCGGGAGGGGAGUGAAAUAGAACGUGAAAUUGCAUGCCCACAAACAGAAAGAGAACGACUUAGCGUUUAAUUUCGUGCCUGUUGAAGAAUGUUCCGGCGACUUAUAGUUAGUGGCAGGUUAAAAUAGAGAUAUUGGAGCCAGAGUGAAAGCGAGCUUGAAUAGAGCGUUCGUCAUUAGUUAUAGACCCGAACCCGGUUGAUCUAACCAUGGGCAGGAUGAAACUUGGGUAACACUAAGUGGAGGUCCGAACCGACUGAUGUUGAAAAAUCAGCGGAUGACCUGUGGUUAGGGGUGAAAUGCCAAUCGAAACCGGAGCUAGCUGGUUCUCCCCGAAAUGUAUUUAGGUGCAGCGGUUAAUAUUAUAGCGUAGGGGUAAAGCACUGUUUCGGUGCGGGCUGGUAAUUCGGUACCAAAUCGAGGCAAACUCUGAAUACUACGUGCACAAUUAACCAGUAAGACUGUGGGGGAUAAGCUUCAUAGUCAAGAGGGAAACAGCCCAGAUCACCAGCUAAGGCCCCUAAAUAAUGACUAAGUGAUAAAGGAAGUGGAAAGGCUUAGACAACCAGGAGGUUUGCUUAGAAGCAGCAAUCCUUUAAAAAGUGCGUAAUAGCUUACUGGUCUAGCAAUUCUGCGCCGAAAACUUACGGGACUAAGUCAUUUGCCGAAGCUGUGAGAUAGUUCAUGAAUAAGUAGAAGAGAUUUUUUAAUCUUGAAGAAAACUUACUAGCAUUGUCUAGGACAUACUAUCGGUAGGGGAGCGUUCUGUUGUAGGUUGAAGUGUUAGCGAAAGCGGGCAUGGACGAAACAGAAGUGAGAAUGUCGGAUUGAGUAGCGAAAACAUUGGUGAGAAUCCAAUGCUCCGAAAACCUAAGGUUUCCUCCGCAAGGCUCGUCCACGGAGGGUGAGUCAGGUCCUAAGGUGAGGCUGAGAAGCGUAGUUGAUGGAUAAUAGAUUAAUAUUUCUAUACUGAUUAUUACUGGUAACGAGGGACGAAUAAGGCUAAACUAGCCAGAGAUUGGUUACUGGUUUAAGGAAGUAAGGUGUUGACGAUUAGUGAAAAUAAUCUGAGCUGAGAUCUGAAUGCAAGAUUGAAAAAUCAAAGUAGUUGAUGUCAUAGUUCCAAGAAAAGCUCGCUAUGCCUUAAGUAAUAAUCACCUGUACCUUAAACCGACACAGGUAGGUAGGUAGAGAAUACCAAGGAGCGCGGGAGAACCCUCCUUAAGGAACUCGGCAAAAUAGCUCUGUAACUUCGGAAGAAAGAGUGCCUUUUAGGCUGCAAUAUCAAGUUCCAAGCAACUGUUUAGCAAAAACACAGGUCUCCGCUAAGUUGUAAGACGAUGUAUGGGGGCUGACGCCUGCCCAGUGCCGGAAGGUUAAAGAAGUUGGUUAGCGCAAGCAAAGCUGGUAACUGAAGCCCCGGUGAACGGCGGCCGUAACUAUAACGGUCCUAAGGUAGCGAAAUUCCUUGUCAGGUAAGUUCUGACCCGCACGAAUGGCGUAAUGAUUUGGAAGCUGUCUCGAGGAGGGACUCGGUGAAAUAGAACUGUCUGUGAAGAUGCGGACUACCUGCGCCUGGACAGUAAGACCCUAUGAAGCUUUACUGUAUCCUGAAAUUGGAUUUCGAUUUUCUUUGCGCAGAAUAGGUGGGAGACGUUGAUUUUAGUCUUUCGGGAUUAGAGGAGUCAUUAGUGAGAUACCACUCUUAGAAAAUUAAAAUUCUAACUUCAUACCGUAAACCGGUUGAAAGACAGUUUCAGGUGGGCAGUUUGACUGGGGCGGUCGCCUCCCAAAAGGUAACGGAGGCGUACAAAGGUUUCCUCAGAUCGGUCAGAAAUCGAUCUUCGAGUGCAAAGGCAAAAGGGAGCUUAACUGUGAGACAAACAAGUCGAGCAGAGACGAAAGUCGGUCUUAGUGAUCUGACGAUGCUGUGUGGAAAGGUCGUCACUCAACGGAUAAAAGUUACUCUAGGGAUAACAGGCUGAUCUCCCCCAAGAGUUCUUAUCGACGGGGAGGUUUGGCACCUCGAUGUCGGCUCAUCGCAUCCUGGGGCGGAAGUACGUCCCAAGGGUUG
rnacentral:rRNA from 1 species